rnacentral:rRNA from 1 species
CCUACGGGGGGCAGCAGUAGGGAAUCUUCCGCAAUGGGCGCAAGCCUGACGGAGCAACGCCGCGUGAAUGACGAAGGCCUUCGGGUUGUAAAAUUCUGUCUUCUGUGAAGAACAAGCCUGUGAGUGGAAAGCUCAGGCCUUGACGGUAACAGAGGAGGAAGCCCCGGCUAACUACGUGCCAGCAGCCGCGGUAAUACGUAGGGGGCAAGCGUUGUCCGGAAUCACUGGGCGUAAAGCGCGCGCAGGCGGCCAUCUGCGUCCGGGGUGAAAGCCCAGAGCUCAACUCUGGGACUGCCUUGGAUACGGGGUGGCUUGAGGAUCGGAGAGGCAAGGGGAAUUCCACGUGUAGCGGUGAAAUGCGUAGAGAUGUGGAGGAACACCUGUGGCGAAGGCGCCUUGCUGGCCGAUUUCUGACGCUGAGGCGCGAAAGCGUGGGGAG